rnacentral:lncRNA from 1 species
AUGGAGGAGACGCCGGCCAGCAGACGGGGUCGCUGGCGUCGGUCGAGGAAGCCCGGAAGACACCCCCAAGAAAAUUUUUGGGGGGGGCUAAUGGGGUGGUCCGGAAGGGCAGAGGAGGAGCCCAGACCACUGCUCUCGUGGGGGAUGACGGCAGAGGAGGAGACGGAGAUGAGGUGGUUUAUUGAGGACCUGCUGAAGGAAGAUCUGGAGGAGGAGCCAUGGGAUGCGGAGUUGCGCGCUGUGUCGCCAGUGCGUCCGCACAGCCCGGUGCGUCCGGUGGACAUGCCCAGCACAUGCCGUGCUAGGAAGGGCAUCCAGCCAGGAAGAGUGGCAAAACCGGCUCCACGCUUCAGUUCACCAGUGCGUGUUCACAGUCCUGUCUGGCCCGUCCCUGCUCCCCGCACCAAGUCCACAGUGCAUGUCCCCAGUCCUGUCCGGUCCGUCCCUGCUCCCCGCACCAAGCCCAAGGUGCAUGUCCACAGUCCUGUCCGGCCCGUACCUACUCCCCGCACCAAGCCCAAGGUGUGUGUCCCCAGCCCUGCCAGUCAGCAGUCGUCAGAGCUGCCCGCCAGUCAACAGUCGUCGGAGCUGCCCGCCAGUCAACAGUCGUCGGAGCUGCCCGCCAGUCAACAGUCGUCGGAGCUGCCCACCAGUCAACAGUCGUCAGAGCUGCCCGCCAGUCAACAGUCGCCAGAGAGGUCAGACUGCGCUGAACUGCCGAAGUGGCCAGACUGCGCUGAACUGCCGGAGUGGCCAGACUGCGCUGAACUGCCGGAGUGGCCAGACUGCGCCGAACUGCCGGAGUGGCCAGACUGCGCCGAACUGCCGGAGUGGCCAGACUGCGCCGAACUGCCGGAGUGGCCAGACUGCGCCGAACUGCCGGAGUGGCCAGACUGCCCCGAACUGCCGGAGUGGCCAGACUGCCCCGAACUGCCGGAGUGGCCAGACUGCCCCGAACUGCCGGAGUGGCCAGACUGCCCCGAACUGCCGGCGUGGCCAGACUGCCCCGAACUGCCGGAGUGGCCAGACUGCCCCGAACUGCCGGAGUGGCCAGACUGCCCCGAACUGCCGGAGUGGCCAGACUGCCCCGAACUGCCGGAGUGGCCAGGGACGCCCGCCAGCCCGGUGAGUCCUGUGCCUACGCCUAGGGACAGGCCUCUGUCAUGUCUCCCCAGCCUGGUGAAUCCUGGGUCAGUGCCGUCGGAGCAGCCAGGGUCGCCCGCCAGCCGGGCGCAACCAUCGCCGGCCGCCAGCCGGGCGCAACAAGGGUCGCCCGCCAGCCGGGCGCAACCAUCGCCGCCCGCCAGCCGGGCGCAGUCAGCGUCGCCCACCAGACCUUCGGCGCGGCCAGGUGCGCCACCUAAGAGGGCGACGUCAAGGGUGGAGCAGAGGCCACGUCCCGCACCUGAGCCGCCGCCGUAA